UCCCUAAUAAGUGACCAAGUCAAUUGUUUCUAAGCCCAGAUCUCUUUCUCUUUCCGUUUCCAAUUGGGCUUGAAUAAAUGCAACCCAAUUAAGGGCCCAACUCUCAAUUUUUUUGGUAGGAGUCAGAUUCUCAGGGGCUCAUUUGGUUUUCUUUACUUUUCCUGAAACAUACACAUCAGAAGCGAAGCUUCUUUCCUUUCUCUUCUCCCUUUUCUUGCGAACAGCAGUGAGAAUGCAGUGAUGAGAGACGCGAUAAGGUUGCGGCGGAGGCGCGACGAUUGUGCGAGGACAUGGUCAUCCUGGCUUUUCUCGAUUCUCUUCGUGUUGGCUCGCAGGAAGGCGCGGCUAUUGCGCGGUGGAGGUGCAGGAAGGCGCGAUGAAGGCUCCUGCGUUCCGCGAAGAGAGACUCUACGUGUUGCAAUUAGGGUUUCGUUGGGGAUUUUGGAGUUUUCCUGUUCUCAUCUUCGAUUCUGAUUUUGGGGAUUUCUAGGAAUUCUUUUGAUUUGAGAUAUAAGGGCAGCAGCAACCGUUACGCGGUGGUUGGCAACGAAGUCGUGAUGGCUGCAGCUAGGUUGGCGGCGGCAAGCACUGUUGGUGGUGGCAAGCUAGGGUUUUGGUUUGGACUGGCAAUUUUUGGAUUCGAUUAACAGUUUGGGCCGCAGGCCCAAUGAGCAAAAACUUAACAUUUAACCAUAAUAAUCAGAAUUGCCAGGGACGUGUGCAAAAUUCAUAACUUUAAUUACUAAAAUUAAAGUGUAAAGGAAGAGAUGGUGUUAUUAUUUUAUAAUAUUAAUUCUUAUAAUUAUAAGAGGAAAAUUGUUAUUAUUUAAUUAGUAA